GGAGAGCGCCUGCCUUGCAAGCAGGAGGUCAGGAGUUCGAAUCUCCUUAUCUCCACCA
rnacentral:tRNA from 1 species